rnacentral:rRNA from 1 species
AGUGAACGCUGGCGGCAGGCCUAACACAUGCAAGUCGAGCGGCAGCGCGUCCGACCACCCUCGGGUGGUCGGAUGGCGGCGAGCGGCGGACGGGUGAGGAAUGCAUCGGAAUCUGCCUCGUUGUGGGGGGAUAACGUAGGGAAACUUACGCUAAUACCGCAUACGACCUACGGGUGAAAGUGGGGGACCUUCGGGCCUCACGCGAUGAGAUGAGCCGAUGCCGGAUUAGCUAGUUGGCGGGGUAAAGGCCCACCAAGGCGACGAUCCGUAGCUGGUCUGAGAGGAUGAUCAGCCACACUGGAACUGAGACACGGUCCAGACUCCUACGGGAGGCAGCAGUGGGGAAUAUUGGACAAUGGGGGCAACCCUGAUCCAGCCAUGCCGCGUGUGUGAAGAAGGCCUUCGGUUGUAAGACACUUUGUUGGGUAAGGAAACCGGACCGGGUUAACGU